GACGAACGCUGGCGGCGUGCCUAAUACAUGCAAGUCGAGCGCAGGAAACUGACGGAACUCUUCGGAGGGAAGGCAGCGGAAUGAGCGGCGGACGGGUGAGUAACACGUAAGGAACCUGCCUCAAGGAUUGGGAUAACUCCGAGAAAUCGGAGCUAAUACCGGAUAGUUCAACGGACCGCAUGGUCCGCUGAUGAAAGGCGCUCCGGCGUCACCUUGAGAUGGCCUUGCGGUGCAUUAGCUAGUUGGUGGGGUAACGGCCCACCAAGGCGACGAUGCAUAGCCGACCUGAGAGGGUGAUCGGCCACACUGGGACUGAGACACGGCCCAGACUCCUACGGGAGGCAGCAGUAGGGAAUCUUCCACAAUGGACGAAAGUCUGAUGGAGCAACGCCGCGUGAGUGGUGAAGGUUUUCGGAUCGUAAAACUCUGUUGUAAGGGAAGAACACGUACGAGAGGGAAUGCUCGUACCUUGACGGUACCUUACGAGAAAGCCACGGCUAACUACGUGCCAGCAGCCGCGGUAAUAC
rnacentral:rRNA from 1 species